CGUAGGUGACCAGCGUUGUCCGGAUUUACUGGGCGUAAAGAGCGCGUAGGCGGUCGUUCAAGUCGAGUGUGAAAGCCCCCGGCUCAACUGGGGAGGGUCAUUCGAUACUGAUCGACUUGAAGGCAGGAGAGGGAAGCGGAAUUCCUGGUGUAGCGGUGAAAUGCGUAGAUAUCAGGAGGAACACCUGCGGUGUAGACGGCUUUCUGGACCAUUGCUGACGCUGAGACACGAAAGCGUGGGUAGCAAACAGG
rnacentral:rRNA from 1 species